rnacentral:rRNA from 1 species
UGCGAGUCGUGAGAUUUCGGAUCUCGGCAGACCGCUCAGUAACACGUGGAUAGUCUACCCUUAGGUAGGGGAUAAUCUCGAGAAAUUGAGGAUAACACCCUAUAGACCUAAAAUGUUGGAAUACUUUUAGAUCAAAAGCUCCGGCGCCUAAGGAUGAAUCUGCGGCCUAUUAGGUAGUAGUGAGUGUAACGGACUCACUAGCCUGUGAUGGGUACGGGCCUUGAGAGAGGUUGCCCGGAGAUGUACUCUGAGACACGAGUACAGGCCCUACGGGGCGCAGCAGGCGCGAAAACUUCACAAUGCGGGAAACCGUGAUGAGGGAAUUCCAAGUGCUAAUACAAUGUAUUAGCUGUUUUUCUGUCUAAAUCGCAGAGAGAGUAAGGGCUGGGUAAGACAGGUGCCAGCCGCCGCGGUAAUACCUGCAGCUCAAGUGGUGAUCACUUUUAUUGGGUCUAAAGCGUCCGUAGCCUGUCUAGUAAAUCCUUGAGUAAAUCGAAUAGCUCAACUAUUCGAAUUUCGGGGAGACUGCUAGACUGGGGACUGGGAGAGGUUAGAGGUACUCUUGGGGUAGAGGUGAAAUUCUGUAAUCCUAUGGGGACCACCAGUGGCGAAGGCGUCUAACUUGAACGGAUCCGACGGUGAGGGACGAAACCCUGGGGCACAAACGGGAUUAGAUACCCCGGUAGUCCAGGGCGUAAACGCUGUAGGCUUG